rfam:Camelus ferus unplaced genomic scaffold scaffold2337, whole genome shotgun sequence.
GAGGGUAUAGCUCAUGGUAGAGUGCAUGCUUAGCAUGCAUGAGGUCCUGGGUUCAAUCCCCAGUACCUGCU